AGGAUUAUGCCUGAACCCAAAGGACUAUUUUGAUAGAAUAGAACACUAACCAUCCUU
rnacentral:tRNA from 1 species